AUUGAACGCUGGCGGCAUGCUUUACACAUGCAAGUCGAACGGUAACAGGCCGCAAGGUGCUGACGAGUGGCGAACGGGGGAGUAAUGCAUCGGAACGUGCCCAGUCGUGGGGGAUAACGCAGCGAAAGCUGCGCUAAUACCGCAUACGAUCUAUGGAUGAAAGCGGGGGACCGUAAGGCCUCGCGCGAUUGGAGCGGCCGAUGUCGGAUUAGGUAGUUGGUGGGGUAAAGGCUCACCAAGCCAACGAUCUGUAGCUGGUCUGAGAGGACGACCAGCCACACUGGGACUGAGACACGGCCCAGACUCCUACGGGAGGCAGCAGUGGGGAAUUUUGGACAAUGGGCGCAAGCCUGAUCCAGCAAUGCCGCGUGCAGGAAGAAGGCCUUCGGGUUGUAAACUGCUUUUGUACGGAACGAAACGGCUCUCACUAAUACUGGGGGCUAAUGACGGUACCGUAAGAAUAAGCACCGGCUAACUACGUGCCAGCCGCCGCCGUAACAC
rnacentral:rRNA from 1 species